rnacentral:piRNA from 1 species
UACAAAGUCAAUUAUAUAAAGUCAUGGUAAGC